rnacentral:rRNA from 1 species
GACGAACGCUGGCGGCGUGCCUAAUACAUGCAAGUCGAACGCAGUGGGGACGGGUGAGUACUACGUGGGUGACCUCCCAUCAGAGGGGAUAACACUUGGAAACAGGUGCUAAACCGAUAUUGAUGGCUUGACCCGCGGUGCAUUAACGAGUUGGUGAGGUAACGGCUAACCAAGUCCAAGAUGCAUCGCCGACCGGAGAGGGUAGUCGGUCACACUGGGACUGAGACACGGCCCAGACUCCGACGGGAGGCAGCAGUAGGGAAUCUUCGGCAAUGGACGAAAGUCUGACCGAGCAACGCCGCGGGAGUGAAGAAGGUUUUCGGAUCGUAAAACGCUGUUGUUAGGGAAGCGGUAUCUAACCAGAAAGCCACGGCUAACUCCGUGCCAGCAGCCGCGGUAAUUC